rnacentral:rRNA from 1 species
AUUGAACGCUGGCGGCAGGCUUAACACAUGCAAGUCGAGCGGGGUGAUGGUGCUUGCACUAUCACUUAGCGGCGGACGGGUGAGUAAUGCUUAGGAAUCUGCCUAUUAGUGGGGGACAACAUCUCGAAAGGGAUGCUAAUACCGCAUACGUCCUACGGGAGAAAGCAGGGGAUCACUUGUGACCUUGCGCUAAUAGAUGAGCCUAAGUCGGAUUAGCUAGUUGGUGGGGUAAAGGCCUACCAAGGCGACGAUCUGUAGCGGGUCUGAGAGGAUGAUCCGCCAGACUGGGACUGAGACACGGCCCAGACUCCUACGGGAGGCAGCAGUGGGGAAUAUUGGACAAUGGGGGGAACCCUGAUCCAGCCAUGCCGCGUGUGUGAAGAAGGCCUUAUGGUUGUAAACCGCUUUUGUCGGGGAAGAAAUCUUCUGGGCUAAUACCCCGGGAGGAUGACGGUACCCGAAGAAUAAGCACCGGCUAACUACGUGCCAGCCGCCGCCGUAA